GCAGUCUCUGUUUAGUCUUUGUUGAUUGUACGUCGUGAUAAACGAAGUGAUCAUUAUUUAAAAAUGAAUUAUAAAUCUCUUCUAAUGUUCUGUGCUAAUUAACGUUAAUAGUGCUAUUAUCAACUCAUGAAAAGAAAAUUAUCAUGGCUACACAAAAGAAAAUUAUUUCGAAAAAUUUAAAUGUUUCCUUAACGCUGAUUGGCUCUCAAGUUCGCGCCUGUUAGUUCUUCUUCAAGGUAGCAUUUUCUGUAACUCCGCAGUUCGUUCCUUUCGUUCCAAUCGAAUUUCAAGGAUAGAAGAAAAUUGCAGCUUUGAAGGUUCUUCGACAUCUGGUCAAAUGAAAGAGAGAGUUGCAAUUAUUAAUAUAUUAUAUAUAUUAUGGGCUUCUGAGUUCAGCAACAUUUCAUAC